AGCGUGCGCAGGCGGUUUUGUAAGACUGUCGUGAAAUCCCCGGGCCUCAACCUGGGAAUGGCGAUGGUGACUGCAAGGCUAGAGUUUGGCAGAGGGGGGUAGGAAUUCCACGUGUAGCAGUGAAAUGCGUAGAUAUGUGGAGGAACACCGAUGGCGAAGGCAGCCCCCUGGGUCAAAACUGACGCUCAUGCACGAAAGCGUGGGGAGCAAACAGGAUUAGAUACCCGUGU
rnacentral:rRNA from 1 species